AUGCCAAGUUCGUUUUAUUUUAUGCUAGAUUUGCUCGAAAUUUGGAAAUAGAUUUUUGCCAAACAUAAAAAAAACUCCUAUGUCUUUUCCUGGGGUUCGAGUAUACUCCACAACAAAUAUUAACUUCGAUAAUGUGAUUUAACAGUAAAAGAAUAGACAGAUAUAUGUUUAUAGUAUGGAAGUAUGUAUAAUUUGACUAAUAUUUUUAUGACAUUGACUUCGUCUCCAAAUCAUGAUUCGUCUAUAACAUAAGUAUGUACGGAGUUCUAGGCGUUGACUGUCAUUCACUAUCAGUUGCUUUUGUCUGCUCUGCUAGUAUUGUAGCUUUAUAUAUUAUAAUUUCCACCAAAAAUUAUAAUUGACGUCACGCAAAGCCCACGACCAAAUCUCAGUCUACUUCUCACAAUAUGCUUAUAAAAAAGUAUUGCGCCCAUUUUGGAAUAAGGAAUAAUACAAUCAGAAGCUUUAUAUUUGACUAAAUAAGAUAUUUUAAAUACCUCGUUUGACAAAAGUUUUUCAGUGAGGUAAUGAAUCGGAAACCUUAUUAUUUAUAUUAGGAUCAUGGCCGGGAUGAGUUAUAUGUAUAGCAACAACAAAUUAUAAAUGUGUUAUGAUAAAUUAUUUUAAUAUAACACAUUGUAUAAAAAACGCAUUUAUGGUAAUUAAAAAACAUAAAGGAAAAGUGUACAAUAAUAGGUGAUGGAGCUAAGCCAACAAAACUUACUUAUAAGUACUACUUACUUAUGAGUAUAUUAAGGGAACUAUAGGUCAUAUUUAUUAUUUAUAAGAUAUUGUAUUUUUCUUUAUUGUAUGACCUUUUGUUUUUUAAAUCAUCUGAUUUUUGUUGAUAGGAAAAACAUGUCCCAUCUGCAACGACGUCACCAGUGGCAUCCACUACGGCAUCCAUACUUGCGAGUCCUGCAAAUCCUUCUUCAAAAGAGCUAUCAGCUUCAAGAAAUCUCCAAAGUUCAAAUGCGCAAGUUCGCAAGGCACUUGUGCUUUGAGUCCUGCUACCAGGUCAGCGUGUCAGUUGUGCAGGUUCGAGAAAUGUAUACAGGCUGGGAUGUUGCCUAGUUUGGUGCGACAGCGCGGGGAGCGUGGGGGAAGGGCGAAGUUAUAUUUAAAAUGUUAAACUGUAUUAAGAAAAACCCUAAACAAAUAAUAAAAUUAAAAAAUAAAUUAAGGAUGGAGGAAAAUUUUCGCGAGCGUAAAUAAUGACAAUAAUUGAGAUAUAUAUCAAAGUGACUGCGUAAGCCUUAAUAGUUGUAGAUGUUUUUUUGAAUUUGUCUUUGCGAAGUUUUUGUAUAAAAAAAUGUCGAAAGUACUUAGUAUUAAGUAAGGGACUUAAUAAAGGAGUUAAUAGUUAUUGUGUGGGAAAAUCCCUUUUUAAUUGUACAAGUAACUAAUUACAUUUUAAUAUCGUUACCAACAUAAAUAUUUUUUAUUUCAAAGUUAAAGUUACCAAGUUAAGAACUGAAUUUCAUUUUAAUUAUAGAAUUAGGAGUGAAGGAAACUAUAAAUAUACUGCCAUUAUGUUUAAAAUAUAGGAUUGUAAAAAUAUAACACAUUUUUAAUAUACUUAAUAAAUAUAAAAAAUAAAGUAAGUUUACUAUACAAAUUAGACUAUAUAUUUUGUCUUCCGAUUUAAUGAGAAUAAUUAAUACUUAUUGUUAAUAUAUCAAUUAUAUUGAAGAUUGUCACAAGAAAAUCUUAAAAAUUGUUUGAGACUAUGUAGGUCAUGUUUUAGAUUACGUGAAAACACAUUGAAUAAAAUAAAAAUUGCCAAUCCUCACUAGGUCAGCGUGGUUGAAUAAGUCCUAAUGCCUCUCAGUAGUAGAGGAGGCCUGAGCCCAGAAAUAGGACAGAAUAGAUUAUAGGGCUGAUAUUAUUAAGUGAAUUUUUAAAAAUAGUAUUGGAGUUAUCGGUCACAAAAUAAUUGAUGCAUUUUUGAAUACGUUAUUCAUUUUGUCUAAUUUAAAAAUAAUUUGAAUGGGCGAGUGAGCUUUUUAAUAAAACUUAUAAUGUAUUUUUUUAUUUUGGAAUUGCGUUUGUAUUUAGAAAGUAGUUAAGUGUUGUGUACUUUUUUAAUCAUCCGAAUGUUCGCAAAAAUCGAUUGUCACGAUACCUUGUGUUAAUAAAUCGUAAUUAUGUUUGUUAUACCUAUAUGCUUAACUUUACCCGCCUUCCUCUAUAGGAGGGUAAAGAUUUAAUGUUAUAUUAAGUAAUAAAAUAAAAAAGUUGUAUUGUUAGGAUUAAAAAAAUACAGUGUAUAGCAAUGGAUGGUUGACAGUUUAUUGAUUUCAUAUUUUAUAAAGGUUAUGAAAUCUCAUUAUAUUUCGAAUAGUGCCUUUAGAACGAAAAUAAUAAAUAAAGAACUGUAUAGAAAGUAGUUUCCUAGCUCAAUUUAUAUCGGUUUCAAAAUUUUAAUAGGCGUUAAAUAUUUUUAUAUUAAUCGACUGAUUUCAAUAAAUUAUCGCGAAUACUAAAUUUGGAUCAAUGUCAGCGACAAUCCGGGUAACAAAAUUCUUCCAAACAUUUAAAAGUAUUCGGAUUGAUCCAUUUCUGCUUUCAAUCCAAAGGUUGUGGGGUUUGUUUAUUGAAAUAAGUUUAUAAUAGGUUCGUUAAUUAAUUAUUUACGUGGUGAAAUAUAUUAAUGUAUAUUAUUUUUUUCGGAGGGAAUUAUUUGGAACGUGCCUAGUUUCUGUUGUAAGACUUAACUAUUUUAGUGUGGUAAGGGACUGAAGACAAGACGCCUUUGUAAAUCAUUCACGCUAAUAGAAAACAAAAUAAAUGUAUUAGAAUGACGUUUCUAUUAAUUAGUAUGACGCUAGUAUAUUAUAAUGUUUAAAAUGGUAGCAAGCUACUUAUCUUCGGCCCCAGGAAUCUAAAUUCUGGAACCAGAAAUGUAUUAUUUUGCGAAUUGUCCCUAACUUUUUCAUUAGGUCCUGCCUAUGAGGCGACAUUAUUAUUUUUAGAUGUAUUCAUUUUAUUUUUCGAAAAUAUGUCUUUGUUAUCAAUUAUUAUAUUAUAAUUAUUAAUAUUUCUUAAUAUGUUUACACACAACGGUACAAUGUGCAUAGAUGUCUAUAUAUGUUGGUUUAUUUUAACGGUAAGUAUAUUGUGAGUGUGUAUCAAGAUAUAUUAUGUAUCUUUGGUAAAAAAAAAGUGCCUCGAAAUAGUAAAAAAAUUCAUUUGUUUUGAUUUAAAUUUAAACAAAUGCCCCAUGGCAAAGAAAAAAAUGAAAGAAAGUUUUUUUAAAAAUAUUUACCUUUCAAUCAAAUAUCAAAUUGCCUACACCCUACCACCUUGUGUUUAUACUUCAUAAAAUACGAUGUGUUACGUAAAUAUUGUUUUAUUGUGUAAUAUAGACCUUGAUGAAAUGCAGUUUAUGUGACAAGCCGUUUUUCUAUUGGGUUUCAUAAUAAAAGAUCACUUUAAUGCGAAACACAUAUCGAGUCGUAUUCAUUUACUUUUUAGUUACGUUUAAUUUCUACUCCCAAGUUAUGUCUGUACGUAUUUAUUAUAUUUUUUCACUUUACUGGUUAGGUAUCUCGCAUGCGAGGAGGAGUCUGGGUAGGUAUGUAUCACCGCAAUGUCUUUUUUUACCGCCCAAGCACAAGUGUGCAUGAACUGUUUCGGUUUCAAGGACAUUGUAGCCAGUGUUAUUAGUGGGUAUUCAUAGAUACUUAACAUCGAGGCGAGCCGCAUUCUCGUCUCUGUUAAUUGACUGUAACAAAAAAGACACUCCAAAAUAAUAUUUAAGAAAAGCUUGUUUUUAAAAUAUAUUUAACACCAUACAUUUUUUUUCAAAUUUACUUAUCUGAAUAUUACCGCCUAAAGCAUAAUAUUUUUGUUUUAGGAAUGCUCCCAAAAACAAAUGCCGAAAGGCAAAAAGCGUACAGAGAAAGACUAAAAAAAGAAAAACCAGACAAAUAUGAAGAAAUCCGGGUUAAACAUUUAAAAAAAGUUAAAGAAAAUAUCAAAAAGAAAAAAGAAAUUCUUACAGAAGAUGAUAAAGAAGUGUUACGAGCAAAAUGGAGACAAGCCAAUGCUAAAAGAGCUGAAAUAAAAAAAAAGAGCUAACGCUACAACACAAGACAACAGUUUAACUAAAUAAGAAAAUAAAAACAAAAAAUAUCUAAAGGAAAAGUUAUAAAAUCAGUCAAGAAAAUACUCAAAUAAUUUUUUUUUAAGACGGCCUUGUAAUUCGGAUAGAGAGGCGAAUAGUCCUUCUGAAAACAAAAUUAUACAGACAAACAUACUCUAAUAAUAAUGCCAUUUUUAUAGAAACUACUCAAUCUCCACAUUAUAACUAUACUUCGUUAACCCAAACCCAUACAUCAAAUAGUUUCAAAGAAGAAACUUUACCAAAUGUGAAAAUGAAAAAAGAAACAGCGAAAAAAAAAACUUUGCUUCAUUAAAGACGGAGUUUAAUAAAGCAAAUCUCAAAGAGAAAAAAGUACAAAAAUAAGCUACAAACGACUAUAUAAACACUAAAUAAAAACAGCUAUUUCUAAUGUUCUUAAACUUAAAGGAAAAUAAGAGUGACGAAAACAAGCAACAAAAUUAGAGAGAAAUGCAAGAAAGCUAUCCAAGAUUUUUUGAAGAGUAAACCUAGCGCUGUAAAAAAAGUAAUAACGAGAAACAAAACAAAAGUACAAAAGAUAUAAUUGAAAUAAUAUACAAUUUCUAUAGAAAUAUAAGACUGAAGGUGUUAAGCGCCUCUGCAAACUUUUUAUGGUUUCCAGUCGCUCUCCGUGAAACCAAGACUUCAAGAAAGGAAUACUUAUGCAUGCAUAAAGCAUUGCAAUUUAUCUUUCAAGGCUUUAUAUCGUUGUUGAAGAGAGGUUUGCUUUAAACAUCUGACAUUAUGAACUUACGAAACGAGUUACUUGCAACAAAUGUUUUAUUGCAUGCAUGUUGCAUUUACACUGAGAAUUUUGAAUAAAAAAGAUAAGAAACUAGCUAUUCCAACAAUAAAUAAGUCCCUGUGUAAGUAAUUUCAGUGGAAACUUGACACACUUGACAUAUAUACUGAAAUUGGUAAAGAGAAAUCUAAAGAAAAGCAGACAAAGAAGUAUUCAAAAUUGAUUGUGAAAGGAACAGUGAGUACAAUAAUUAAAGAAUCUCAGGAUAUAUACCUAGAAUUCAUUAGCAGUGAGGCCAAGGAACUUGCCAUGUUUUGCUAAAUUCAUCACUCAAAAUGGCUAUCGUCGCUCGUCUCUUCUCUCCUCUUAGUAAUAUCAGUUGUUUCAUUGUUAAUGUCUUAAUUAUUGAGUAAAUCACUCAUUUAAUAUAAUUAUAUAUUCUCACGACAAAAAAACCUAAAUAUAGUCAAAACUAUACGAACUUCAACGCGAGUGGAUUCACGGAAAACCUAGUAUUAAAUUGAGUUAACUUAAAACUUCUUUUCUCAUUUUCAUUUGGUAUCUAAGCAUAUAAUACUGUAGGCCUUUGUAAAUUUAUUAAUUGGCAUCUUAAUUCAGUAAAUAAAGAAAUCUUCCAGUGACAUUAUACUUUUUCUUCUUUUAUAUUGUGGCUUUUACCGUUCAUCUAUCUUUUGUGAUUUCGUCUUUAUUCUUCUGAGAUUUCGUCAAUGUCGAGUAAUAUAAUAGGAAAUUUAAAAAAAUAAUAAUUAUAUAAAUUGUUUGAACUCUUUUACAAAAUAUUGGAUAAAAUGGAUUCAAAAGAGCAAUUAUGAAUUGAGCAUUUAUAAACUACUUGGAUCUGCAUAUAUUAAUAGCUAAAAUGUAUGCUGAAUGUGUAAACGUGCAAUUAUAUACUUGUAUAAAUGAUAAAAAAGAACGCCUAUAGACCUAUCAUUGUGUUAUCGUUUGUUGUUGUAAUAGCAUUUAAUAUAACUCAAAUUUAAACUAACAAUCAAGUGUUGUAUUUGAAAAUGUGAAAAAAGUUAAAAUAUUUCAAAUAAUAAAAAAUGUGUUUAUGGAUGUUUAUUUAUUUCAAUGUUGUGACAUCGCAAUAACAGUUCUACGCAACCGACCAUCUGUAUCAUCAUUUUGUAAAUAUAGUGUGUACAAACAGUGUUUUACAUACACGAUCAUUUUUACAUUGCGUUGCUAGAUGAAACCACAUAUUCGUCUUUACCUUUGUGUCAAAACGAUGGAUGAUUCCAUGAAUAAUAAUAAGAAAACUUUAUUGUUUAUUUUCGCAAAAAACCGUGGUUUCUGUUUACAGAUUUUUUAUUAUUUGUAGUUUAGUGCAAAUAUAGUAGAUUUGUGAUUGAAAGUAUGAGUUACCGCUUCAACGAAUUCUCUUCGUAUAGCAGUAGUGGUUAUAAAUCAUGUACAAUUAAAAUUACUGAAUAUAUUUUUUUUUGUUCGAAGCUUAGUGCUCUUUUUUAUUUGUUAUCUAUGGUUAGAAUAACUUGUGGUAAAGUUGUUUUCAGAAGACAAAUUUAUGGUUUCCGUUGUUAAUGCAUUCUCAAAAUGACCCUGUAUGUAUUUUAGGUAUGAAACGAAUAUUUCUUCAUAUGAAUAAGGUUAAAGGGCACUUAAAUCCACAAAUUGUAAAUAAAUUACAAUGUUCUAUAAAAAAACUAAAUAUAUUUAUUAUUUCUAUUGUAUUCUUAGUUACUGACAAUAUACCAAAGGUAUUAUUACAAAUGCAGUUCUUUUUUAAUUUUUCUUUUUCUUUUAUGGCAUAGAAAGGUUUUAGACUAUCAAUAUACGAUAAAUACAUACAAAAUGCUAUAAAAUUCAAUUUGUUUACAGAAAAACAUCUAUCAAGCGAUUAUGAGGCAUGUCCAGUGUGCGAUGAUAUUACAUCGGGGAUCCAUUACGGUGUACGAACGUGCGAGUCCUGCAAGCUGUUUUUUAAACGCUCAGUUCGGCUGCAAAAAAACGUCGUGUACUAUUGUAAGAAGAAAGGCGCGUGCAAAAUAAACAUUCAGUCUAGAGCUUGGUGCAGAUACUGUAGGUAUACCAAGUGUUUAAAUGUAGGCAUGAUGCCAAACUUGGUGCGGAUGGUACCGACCCGUUAGUAUAGCUGUAAAAAAACGCCAUAAUGCGCGUUCUCGCGCACUAAGUUUUUGUACCUAAUCACUUUUGUCUUUAUUUGGUAUAUGAUAAAAUAUUCUAUGAAAGAUUUAGUUCUAAACCAAUUAUGACCCAAAAGACAAGCCUUUGAAAUUGGAUAAGCGUUGACUGCUAUAAUAUUAAGGAAAUGACAAAAUGUCUACCCACAUUUAAAAAUUAGUUUAUUCAUUUGACGAAUUUGACCUUAACAAAAUAAUUAUUUGUGAAGGUGGUCUAUGUAUACUGCUAUUGGCUAAGGUUUAUUACGGUACGACUGCAGUGCUGAGGCCUCAGGUUCGAUCCCCGUGUCGGGCAGUGAUAUUGAAUUUUUCUUCUUAAAAUCAGUCCGGAGUCUGGAAUUUGUGCCCGAUAUGACAAUACGCUCAGCCAUCAUAUGUGGCGGAAUAUAAACGGCGGAAAGUUAGUGCACCAGUUGCGCCUCUGUCUACCCCUUCGGGGAUAAAAGUCGUGAAUGGGUGUGUUUCUUUUUUUACAGUUUUUUUUUUCUUUAUUUGAAUUGUAAAAAAAAAGUUUUAGUUUUGUUGUAAUUUUUUUUGUAUGGAAUCCUAAACACAAAUUCCAUUUGUACCUUGCAACUAUAGGAGUAUUCUAAAAUUCGUAUUUUUAUAUAUUUGGAUACAAAUUAGACUAUCUAUGAAAAUAGAACAUCUAUCUUAGUAGAAUAAUUGGUUUGAUUAACAUAUCUUCAGUAUAUUUUAAUUGUCCUAAGAGUAUUUCUCAAAAUAAUAUAUAUACGUAACGAAAUAGUUUUACGAAACAUUUUUACGAUUUUUUUUAUAAAUCUUUUCUUUUGUUUGUCUCAAGACAUUCGUUCUAACAAAUAAUAUAGCUUAUGAAUGUAUGAAGAAAAAAAAAAACGGUUAAGAAAGAAUCGUAAAAACAUUUCUUAAAAUCUAUUUGUUACGUACAUUUAUUUUCAUUAAUACUCAUGAAUUUUAGCUUGUUAUUUCGACAAUUGAAAGGCUAAUGGCCUAAGCGACAUUUUUUAGAAAAAAUUUAAUUAGGUUAAAAAACAUAGAAAAAAGUCCGAUUUUAAAUAUGUAUGAAAGUAAACUUGCUUGCACAACGACUUCCUAAACAUGUUUAGCGCUAAACACAUUUAAAACUUAAUGCUGUCACUGUCAAUUAUUAAGAGUUUACGAAAACAGCACUGUGAUUAAAAUUCAGAACAAUAACAAUCAUAGAAGGAGUGUAAAUUAUUUGCAUAUACUUAUCCUUUUUUUCAAAUAGGCCAAAGCCGUUGAAAGAACGAGACAAACAUUAUGUUGCUAAGAUCGGCAUACAGGCCACCGCGGUCACAUCUAUGAUGCCGAAUUAAAAAGCAAAUUAAUGUCAAAUGUUACAACUCGCCAACGCGCAAAAACGAUUUAGUUUAAUUAUACUUGUGUCACAAAGAAUUGCAACACAAUUAAAUUUCUUGUUUGCACAGACAGUUUAAGCGGCGAUAGCCUAGUUGGGUGUGGAAUGGACUGCCGAGACGAAUGUCCGCAGGUUCGAAUUCCUAGGGCACACACCUCUGACUUUUCUAAAAUCAUGUGUGUAUUCUUUGUGAAUCUAUCGUUGGCUUUUACGGUGAAGGAAAACAUCGUGAGGAAACCUGCACAUCUGAGAAGUUCUCUAUAGGAAUUUCGAAGGUGUGUGAAGUCUACCAACCCGCACUAGGCCAGCGUGGUGGACUAAGGCCUAAUCCCUCUCAGUAGUAGAGGAGGCCCGUGCUCAGCAGUGGUCAAGUAUAUAUAAUACAGGGCUGAUAUUAUUAAAGACAGUUUACACUCAAAUAUAGUAGUACUACUUCUAUGCUUGUUAUUGUUCUGAGGAUUAAAACAUAUUUAUAUUUAGUGAGUGGUUGGUGGCAAAAAUAUGUUGCUUAAUAGCCUUUCAACGGUCGACUUUAUUUUUCUUAUGGACACGCAAGACGCACCUAAAUUGGUUGUUGCGUUGACUGAUGCUCGAUAACCGAUGCAGAACAUAGCAUUGUAGACGAAACCUUAUGGUUUUUUUAAUGGCAAGCUAUAAUGUCAACUUCAUUUUAAAACUGGUUAAGAUAUAAAAAAUAUGCUGUGCUCAAUUGAUAAGCAUAAUAUUGUUAUCAAUGUCUUGUCUAGGUAAUUAAGAAUAUAUAUAACACGUUUAUUAUAAGUUAGUUUAAGAUAGUAAAAUUGAUCAUUAAGAUCAAACGCGAAAUAUAAAGUAAAAUUUUAUAUAAUUGGGCAAUUAUAAAAUAAAGUGACACUUCCGUUACUGUUUAAAUUAUUAAUUUAAGUAUAUUUUAUAUACAUAUAUGUCAGUAAAAUGAAGUUAUUUAUUAUAAUGUCAGUGAUGAAAAUUAACAAAUUCUUAUAUCCAUAAAAUUGAAAAUAAAUUAUAUUUUAUUCUCACGAACAAAGAAAUUUUGUACAUAAAUUUAAAAAAUAUAAUAUUUUUACAGGCGGCCUUCUUUUUUUAAAUCGCUCUUUAUUUUUUAUUGAAUUUUAAUGAGUUGUUUUGAUUGGUUCAUUCACGGAAUCGGAUUGAACAUUGAGGUUGGGAUCGUUUAUGAAAACGGGUUUGUGUCUAUCGUUAUGGGACUAUUUCGCAGGAUAGAUUAUAAAGCCGAUAUUAAAGAAAUGAAAUGUAAAAAAAAAAAAUGAUAUUAAGUACAUUUAUACUUUUGUACGUGAAAAACCCUAUAAAUUCUGUAUUGAUAUUUGGGUUGUAUAAUUUUCCUGCGAUUUUAAAUAAACGAUGGAAAAUGAUUAUAAAUAAAAACAUAAAAUAUUUUUAAGAGUUUUAUUUAAUUAUACAACUAAGAUUUUUACGAUAGAUUAUGUAAUAUUUUUAAAUAUGUAUAAUUGAAAUGUUGUAAAGACUGCAUUAUUAUACCAUUUAUUAUAAAUAACAUAGAAGUUUUAUUAAAACUACCUAUAAUUUAAAAUGUUUAAUUGGCAAAGCAAAAUUACAACGCAUCUAAUUUGGCGGCUCGGCCUCUUAAAUUACAGUUGGUUGUUUAGGAAUAUGCAUACACUAUAUCUAUAGUGUGCAAAUCUUAUUAGUGAUGAACAGUAUGGUAAAUGUACAAAUCAUAACAGUAUGAACAGAUGUUUCGACAGAAACAUUUUCUUUUUCUUCAUUCAGAAAUAGCGGAUGCAUCUAUGGCGUUCGAAUAUUUAUCCCAUUUCCCUUAAAUUAUAAUGUACUUUAAUCAAACAAAACUCAACCGAGUAGAUCCAAAGCAUCAGAUCAAGUCCAGUAAGAAGGUUGUUUGUUCCAGGGUCACCGACACCUCGGUACAGCUGGUCGCGGCAAGGCAACGCGAUCAUCAUGCUUGGCGAGCAUAGAUUCAAGAAGCGUUCGAAACACAUCAACCAAAGACAAGAGAUACAUUGGGUGUGCAAUAAAUGCGAUAAAGGUUGUAAAGCCAAACUGACAACAUUGAAUGACGCUAUAAUUAAAAUUUAUAAUGUUCAUGAUCAUGACCACGCUCGAGUUAAGAAGGUUAAAUCAUGAUUGUUAGUGCUAAUAGUUAAUUGAUUUGUUGACCAAAAAUGACACAUUUAUCCUUGUUAGUAAAAUGCGUUUUAGUUUGGCUAUGUGUUUACAUGGGAGAAUAAUAAGGACUUUCUAAAACCUAUUUGGCAGCACUGUCAAAAGUGUAUGCCACAAAUCUUAAUAAUUGAUCUGAAGAUUAUUUAUCUUGGUUAUGGUGACACGAGACAGACGUAAAGAAUAUAUUCAUAUUAACUAUACAGUAUUAUAGAAAUAUAAAAUAGUGCCAGUAUCAAAAUCUUUUAGUUGAACUACAAACCAGUGAUGGCGGCGACAUGCUCCUGCAAGAACUACGAAUAAGAGUGUUGCCAGUAUCAAAUUUUAAAAAUUUUCAAAAAAAAAAAAUUGGCAUUUAAACACAUUUCAUCGACAGACUAUAAUUUUAUUACUGUCAGAUAUUUUUAUUAAGGUUACUUUCAUGUUAAUACAAUAGCCCUAACAGCUUGUGGCAUUAACUUAUUGACUCCGUCGUUUUUAUUGUUUAUAGGGUUUACGUCUUACUUUGUACACACCUGUAAAAUAAAACUUGGCUUAUUUCUUACAUAAUUUUCCAUUUUUAGUAAAGUUAUAUCGGCUUUGUGCUAUUUAAAAUUAAAAUGGCCACAUAUCCGAAAUAUGCCAAGUGUACCUAAUGGCCACAUAAGUAAAAAUUUUAUGGGUGUUUUUUCAACUAUGGCAGAUGUAUAGUUGUUAUUAGUUGGUCUGUUUACUAGAGUUUGGUUAUCACCCAUCACGAGAUUUAAAUCUGCACCAAAAUAAGACGAUAAAAUAAAUUAAUAUAGUACAA